UACAGGGGGUGCAAGCGUUGUUCGGAAUUACUGGGCGUAAAGGGUUCGUAGGUGGCCAAUUAAGUCAGACGUGAAAUCCCUCAGCUUAACUGGGGAACUGCGUCUGAUACUGGUUGGCUUGAGUGCAGGAGAGGAAUGCGGAAUUCCAGGUGUAGCGGUGAAAUGCGUAGAUAUCUGGAGGAACACCGGUGGCGAAGGCGGCAUUCUGGACUGUAACUGACACUGAGGAACGAAAGCCAGGGGAGCAAACGGG
rnacentral:rRNA from 1 species